CUCUCUGGCUUAUCUGUAGCUCCUCCUUGGGACCCUGGGUUUGGGCUGGGAGCUCUUGCUUAGGGUCCUAGAGCCCUAUUUCUCUUCCCUGUCCCUCUGGUUCCUGCCACUGGAGACACAGUCCUAGAGUAUUGGUCAGUAAAUUGUCCCUGGGUACUUUGUUUUGUGGAGCAAAGACUGCGAGUCUUUGGGGACUGGUGAGCGCUCUUCUAACACGUGGCUUAACAGAAGAGACAGGCAGAAACAGUCAAGGGAAAAAAAGCAAAUUCAGUUGUCACAUGUCUAUCACUGACAUGCCUUUCGGUGCUUUUCCAUCUGUGUAUGGAGGGGUGGGUGAGCUGGGAGGAUUGGAGGGGUGGGUGAGCUGGGAGGAUAGCCCUGAUGAAAGUGGAAGAAGUCUGGAGAUCUGAGGGGGGGGGAUAAUUCGGAAUAUGUUCCCAAAGCCCAGACUUGAAGGUGAAGGUUUUGGGAGAAAUUCAGGCAGCUAAAGGGGACAAGGAUCCUGCUUCCCGGGACAACCUACUUUCAGGGGCUUGGAGUCCUUGCUGGGAAGGACUCUUGACGUCUCCUUGAUCUGGCCCCAUGUCCAUCUCUUUCUCUUGCACUUGACUCCUGCCCCAAUGUCCUUUGAGCUGCCCUUCCUGCCCACUUCUGCUCUCUCUCUUCCCCUCUUGCCCUUGCCGUGUUUCCUUUAUUUCUGGGGUUGUUUGUGGGGGAGGGGGGUGGCCAUUCUUGGGAGUGACUUUGUUCCUGCUGUACUUGGUCCCUGAGACCCAGCGCUUACGGGAUUCCCUCUCCAGUGAGCUGUUCCCCCCUGCUCUUCACCACCUUCUCUCCAGAUGCAGCACGUCCGCUGCCUGUGCUCUGAAGACUGAGGGUUUGCAGGUCAAGACGUUUGUUCCUUUGCUGGUCGUUCAGGGAGCAGCUUGGUCUCCAGAUCUACAAAGGCAGAGACUUACAGGCCAUGCACGGUCAGAAAUCACCUAGACCUUCAAGAAUGAAACAAGGGAGCCAUCUCUGCCGGAGUAGCUGCAAGUGUUCUUCCUCAGAUAGAGACAGCCAGCGAGAGAGGGAAC